GGGUGAGGACAGGACACAGAUGGGGGCCUAGCCCGGAGGGGCAAAGCCUGAAUCUGACCACGUCACGUGCUUGUCACUACCGCCAAGCUCCCUCCUCCCUCAGCACCCCUUUUCCUUCCUCCGAGAAGGCGUCCCUGACUUGGGACCCAUUCCGUGGGGGGCCUGGGUCACCCCUCAGUCCCAGCCUCGGUCUCCUCACCUACACAAUAAAGAGGCCUGACUCGAUUAAGACCCCUCAACUGUGCGAACCCAUGGCCUGCCAGCGAGAGGGCUGCUGAGGCCAGGUUCUUGAGAAGGAAGGGUUAACAUGGCCCCCCUGGAGCUCCUGGCUCCUCCCCAACUCUGGCCUCAGAGCAGUGCAGGCAAUUUGAGCCCUGCACCUGCCCAGCAUUCCCGUGGCCCUUCCUCACGGGGCUGCCAAGCUGCAUUCUGGGCCGGGGGAGGGGGGGAAGGCACCAGCCCUGUCUGCGUGCUUCCCCUGACUGCUGUACACCCUUGGCCGGGGAGCUCUCUCCUCCCCAAAGCUUUGCAUGGCCCUAGAGCAGAAACUUUCUGACCUCUGGGUUUCCUUCUGGGGCUCUGCGGAGGGCUACAGCCUUGGGAGCUAAAAGAGAUGAGGCCUCUUGCCCCAAAAGGGGCUGCUCAGCCACCCAUCCAGGACUACAGGCAGUGUUCUUCUAUUUAGUCAUGUCAGCUCUACAGCUCCUGAAGCGCUAGUGCUGGGGCUCCAGGAAAGUCUCCAGACUGCACUAUGGAAUGGUAAGAUACAACUGUUCAAAAAAACCUUCAUGGAAUCCUAAAUUCAAAGUUUGGAGAAAAACCCUUUAUCUAUGUUUUAUUUAGUUACUAAUAUAGGCUAAUGUCACUGGAGAGAGUGACUGGUUUGGUGGCCAGUGCCUCUCCAGGAACUGGGAGCUCCCGGAAGACAGGGCCCAGGGCACCAGUUCAGCUCUCGAAGCAGGAGAGGCACGUGGUGAGCUGGUGGAGCUCAAGUGUAAAGCCGACUCCCCCAGGGACCCACCUCAGGACCGUGGCUUUGUAAUUUGCUGAAAGGUGUACAUUUCAAGUUUGAGGCUGGAGCGACUUUCCCAGUGUCUGGCUUGUCGUCAGGCCCGCGGAGGGCUCUCCUAGUCACAGUAAGUUACUGGGGGGUUCUGAGUGGAGAAGUCACAUGAUUUGUGUGAUGACUGACUUAACACCUUAAAAACUUACCAGGAUACUGUAUGGGAGGUGAACGGACUGCCAGGGAACAGAAGCCGAGAGGCAAGUUAGGAGGCUCUGGCAACAAUCCAGGCAAGAGAAUGACGACAGUUAUACCAGGUGACAGUGGGAGUGGGGAGCAGUGGUCAGAUUUGGAUUGAAAGGCAGAACUCCCAGAGUUUCCUGGUGGCCUGGGCGUCAAGGCAUCGGGGAAGCCGGCUUCCAAGGGGCACGGCCCGAACAACUAAUCGAGGAGGACAGAGUAUCCACGGAGUGAGAUAAUAAGGGGAAGACUGGGGACAGAAUCUGGAGCGGAGCUGGGAGGUGCUAAAUGUGAGUGACCAGACCGCCCGCGGAGGCGCUGCGGCAGAGGCUGGACCUGGGAGCCUAGGGUUCAGAGGCCAUGUCUGGGUGAAGAGAACCACUAGGAGUCUGCAGCGUAGAGAGGGGGUUUCGAGCCUUGCGAUCAGACAGGCUCCUCUAGAAAGUAAGUGUAAACAGUGAAGCUAGAAGACCACACCCUGUCACCCCUACAUUAACAGGCAGGGGAACUGCAGGAGAACCGUCAGAGCAGGCUGAGCGGCAGCAGCCACAAGGGAGGAGAAGCACGAGGCACUGAGGCUGCAGAAGGAAGUGGAGAAAAUGCUGGAAGGACAGAUCAACCAUGCCCCCUGCUGCCAAGAGGCCAGGCUGAAUAACUGGCUUAGGAAUUUGGAGGGUUUUUUGAUUUUGACAAUCUGGAAGCGCCCCUCCCUCUGCUGCAGGCAUGGGGCGCGUGCCCUGGCCCUGAAGCGAGUGAGCUGCAGUACAGAGCUUGUCCUGGGACACUGGCUGAGCUGAGCCCAGCAGCCUCUCAAAAUGCUCCCCUUGAGCCUUCAGGGCCUUAGGAAGACGGAAUCCUCAAGUUGGGGGUAAAAGGCAGGCCUCCUGCCCUGCCCUGUCUACCUCUCCCUUUGAACUGCUGAUUGUGCCUGAAAUAUAACCGAAAACAGGAGACAGGAAACACGCGUCCAUCACACAGCGGAACCCUAUCACCCCUCCAAUCCCACCCACUCCAGUACCCAGCUUCCCAGCCUCUUCUGGCGGCCUGCAUGCGGCAGGGUGUUUCUGUUUUCUCAGAAGGAUGUGGAUCUCAUGGCCUCUCCAACCGAGGACUGUUCUUUUUAUUCUCCCUCCCUCGCCUGAACCUUCUCCACGGGUCACUGCAGCGGCGUACAGAAAGCAGCAGCUUUUCUCAUAUAAAAGCCCAAACCACAACCCUGCCCUUAUCUCAGAUGCUACUCCACUCACCACCCUAUACUGCUGCUCCACAGUCACAGCCAAAGCUAGAGAAGUUGAUGUCUCCAUUUCAUCACCAUUCAAUCAUUCUAAAAAGUUAAAUUACAUAUGAUUUUGUGAUUUCAUUGUGUAACGUACCAAAUGCGUAACAUGUGUAAACUAUGAAGCAUGAUAAAAAUGAACAUGUGUAAACCCACGCCCCAGCCCGAGAAAUAAAACCUAGUUCCUA